GUGAAUCCCCAUGAGCAUAGAUACACUAUGUGAUUGGGGUGAACGAAUGCAGCCA
rnacentral:sRNA from 1 species